rnacentral:rRNA from 1 species
CGGAUUGCAGGCUGCAACUCGCCUGCAUGAAGCUGGAAUUGCUAGUAAUCGCGGAUCAGCAUGCCGCGGUGAAUACGUUCCCGGGCCUUGUACACACCGCCCGUCACACCAUGAGAGUCGGGAACACCCGAAGUCCGUAGUCUAACCGCAAGGAGGGCGCGGCCGAAGGUGGGUCCGGUAAUUGGGGUGAAGUCGUAACAAGGUAUC